AAGUCCUGCAUUCUCUCUCAGGGAGUCCAGAACUCUGCUGCUCACCAAGCUGGAAGGAAGAAGUGGAACCUGGAACAGAAUUCUUCCUGGUGAGAGUUGAGAAGGGCAGCCCCUCCUGACUGAGAACUCAGGCUGUGACUCUGGCUCCCACUCACAGAGCUUCUGAGAAGAUGGCUUGACAUCCUGUUUGGAGUUCCUCUGCUAUCGACCAGCAGUUCAGUCCUGCAGCAAACACCAAAUACGAUUCAGCAGCUGCAGUCCCAUCCUGAAGAAUCCGCAAGGCUCCCCAACCUGCCCGUGGCCGCUGAAGCGGGGGAACCUCAUGAACUGUUCUUCGGCAGCUGUGUGUUGGCCCCUUCGCAUGAUGAAACUGAGGAGCCAGGGAAUUAGGAGCUGAACUCCACUGAGGUGUUCAGAAGUCUGUGCACGCUGCCUCCCUGGAAAGCACCCAGCACUCCCUGCUGUUCUUAGAUCCUGUUGUCUCCUUAUCAAUCCCUGAGGCCAGCAGAACAAACCGAGGUAUAGUAUUAUAAAUUCAGGCUCGAGGUCACUGAGGGUCACAGAGUCCACAGCAAAGGGGAAUCAGAAACCACAAUGGUCUGCCCUACUCUCACACUGCAAAUGCUCAUGACUACGUAAGCACAGCAAGAGUUCAAGGAUCGUCCCUACAGAGAUCCUCCCUCAUCAGCUCAUCUGUCUGACCCUCUGUGCCCCUGGACAGUAUCAGCUGGGAGUGUGGAAGAUUCUAGAGAAGGCGCCAUUCCUCAGUGGUGUUUCCACAGUUCAAUAAACAACUGAUUCUUCCACUAUUGCCAUACCAUCUCCACUUCUUAACUCCAUGCCUACUUUCUCCCUUAAGAAAACAAAUAGGCAAGUAAAAGACAAACAAGGAAGGAUAAGCAGCAGAGAAACUAAGAAGGAGCAUGAGACACGCACGCACUUCCUUGUCUGGGCGCUGGGACUCUGGCUCGAACCUGUACAGUUUCUCCAGGACUUUUAUCACGAAGAGAUGCUGGAUUUUAUCAAAGACACAAAGGGGAAUGGUCCAGAUCCACAAGCUUGUCAAAAACAACAGAGGUAUAAGGUCAUAGAAUUCAUGUCCACCUUGCAGUCUGCUUCUCACCCACUGCCCUUUGGAAAGCCAAUUCCUUCCUCCUGUUCACGUGCUGUUGGUACUCUAUGUUCUGCCUGCCUUCCAAGAGUUCACAGAGUUUGGCAGUGUUUACCCUGUGUUGUCUCAGCUGCUGAGAAAUGGCGUCUUCUGCACCAGGGGCCGAAACACCACCUUUGUAGUACUUUUCUUCUCAGCUCUGAGUUUUGUGGAGAUCAGACUUCCUUCCUGAUCCUCAUUUGCCUUUCAACAAGAAGCCUUCACUCAUUUAUUGAUCCACUUCCUUUGUACAGACAGUUGUUCAUCAGAGCAUGUUAGGAACCAGGCCCAAGACCCUGACAGACACUAGAAUCUGAGGAACCUCAAGUUUCUUAUACAAAAUGACACAGUAUUUGCAUAUAAUCUAUGCAUAUCCCCUUGGGCACCUUAAUUUUUACUUUUUGGCUUUUUUUAUUGGGUAUUUAUUUCAUUUACAUUUCCAAUGCUAUCCCAAAAGUCCCCCACACGCUCCCUACCCACUGCCCCCCCUCCCACUUCUUGGCCCUGUCAUUCCCCUGUACUGAGGCAUAUAAAGUUUGGNNNNNNNNNNNNNNNNNNNNNNNNNUUAGUUCAUAAUGUUGUUCCACCUAUAGGGUUGCAGAUCCCUUUAGCUCCUUGGGUACUUUCUCUAGCUCCUCCAUUGGGGGCACUUUUUGGCUUUUUGAAUACAGACUUGCAAUGUAGCUCAGGCUGGCCUUGAACUCUUCAUCCUCUGGCUCAGCUUCCUAAGUACUGGUGUGAAUAACCAGUGUGAAUCAUUAUACCUAACCUUCCUCCUGUGUAAUAAAUAAAGUUUACAUUAUUUAUCAUACCUAAUACCAUGUAAAUGGUAGAUAAACAAUCUUGGUGAUAUAUUGAUUAGGGGCUAAUGACAAGAAAAAAACUUUGAACUUGUUAAAUAAAGAUGCAGUUAAAC
ensembl:processed_transcript E230016K23Rik RIKEN cDNA E230016K23 gene